CACGUAGGGUGCGAGCGUUGUCCGGAAUUAUUGGGCGUAAAGAGCUCGUAGGCGGUGUGUCGCGUCGGCCGUGAAAACCUGCGGCUUAACUGUGGGCGUGCGGUCGAUACGGGCAUCACUGGAGUUCGGCAGGGGAGACUGGAAUUCCUGGUGUAGCGGUGAAAUGCGCAGAUAUCAGGAGGAACACCAGCGGCGAAGGCGGCACUCUGGGCUGGUACUGACGCUGAGGAGCGAAAGCGUGGGUAGCAAACAGG
rnacentral:rRNA from 1 species